AUUGAACGCUGGCGGCGUGCCUAAUACAUGCAAGUCGAACGCAGUGGGGACGGGUGAGUAACACGUGGGUAACCUCCCCAUCAGAGGGGAUAACACUUGGAAACAGGUGCUCAACCGCUACUGAUGGAUGGACCCGCGGUGCAUUAGCUAGUGGGGGAGGUAACGGCUCACCAAGGCCACGAUGCAUAGCCGACCUGAAAGGGUGAUCGGCCAAAAGGGGACUGAGACACGGCCCAGACUCCUACGGGAGGCAGCAGUAGGGAAUCGUCGGCAAGGGACGAAAGUCUGACCGAGCAACGCCGCGUGAGUGAAGAAGGUUUUCGGAGCGUAAAACUCUGUUGUUAGAGAAGCGGUAUCUAACCAGAAAGCCACGGCUAACUCCGUGCCAGCAGCCGCGGUAAUAC
rnacentral:rRNA from 1 species